rnacentral:lncRNA from 1 species
GAGUAGUGCUACAGCCUUUCUUCACAAGAAUACUACCGGCUUUCUUCUUAAGGAAUGGUUAGCACGACCACCUAUAGCCUUCAAAUCCUCUACUAGGACCAUGCCAAGAAUCUCUUCUCAAGAGGUCUUACCACUCAACAGGUUUAGAACUCCAACAAUUGGAAAACCCAAACCCUAGGACAAGCAACUCCUUGCCUUUCUUGCUAUUUUUCUCUCUUGCCUUUCUUGCUAUUUUUCUCUCUUAUUUUUUCUUAUCUUUUCUCUAAGUUUUUCUUAUCUUUUCCCCACUAAUCCCAUGCCUAACCACCAAAGAAUUGGGUAG